rnacentral:lncRNA from 1 species
CCUCAUCGUGAUUGCAUUAUCACCUGGACAGGCAGGUCUCUUAUACCUGACUGUCUAGCAAUCGCUUGAGAAGGAAAUGAAUAAGUUGAUCAGCAACAAGUCCAGCUUUUACAAUUUCGGCAGAGGUUUCCUUCUGGUUCCGGUGUGGUGAGGCCCGGAAACCUCAGUGCCCGCAGACUUUUCCUUUUGUGGGGAGCCCGCCCAAACUCCAUCCUUUGCCCGCGGCCACGCCCCACAGUGGGAAGGAGGGACUGAAAAGCAUUUCCUUGAGGCCGGCACAACUUGCCCUACGCAAAACGAGUUUUUUUUUUUUUUUUUUCCCCCCCUUCCCUGGCUGAGCCAGUUUCAUCUGAAAUACAGAGUGACCGGAGGAGGAACCGGAGGAGGGACAAGGGCAUUUCAAGCCCCAGGUCUCUAGGAGGAGGGUGAAGAUCAGAAGAGUCACAAUCCUUCCUAUCUGAGAAGAACCGGAGGGUGAAUGAUGUGCUGGUAACUCCUCUGCUCUCCACCUCAUCACCAGGAGAUAUCACUGGGCAGAGGGGCGGGUUAUCUGUGCAGGUCUCUGGGCUUAAAGAGAGCCGCCACUCAGUGAGCUCUUCUGUCCGUUUGUCCUCUCCGGAGCAGGCGUCAGGAGAGUGAUGGAGCCUGAGGCUCUCUGAUACCUGGCAGGGCGUCUUGAAGUCUUGAAUGAUUUGUAUGCUCUGUCCCCUCGGGGUUCUGGCCCCUUCCUGACUCCUUACCCCAACCCCUCCGGAGCUCACAGUGGAAGUCUGAAUUCAGGUCCUUCUUCCUAAAACGGAAGAUAGAAAUAGGCUUGGGCUCAGAUCCAGGAAAAUGAACAAACAAAACAAGUGAUCCCGGAUUCCAUCAUUUGGUGAGUACUGGAAGCAAAUUUGGGCUUCCCUGGUGACUCAGAUGGCAAAGAAUCUGCCUGCAAUGCAAGAGACCUGGGUUUGAUCCCUGGGUUGGGAAGAUCCCCUAGAGAAGGAAAUGGCAACCCACUCCAGUACUCUUGCCUGGGAAAUUGCUUGGACCGAGGAAGCAAAUUCUGAUUUAUACUUAUUUUCCAAAUGCAUUCUGAAGACAGACAUGCACACAUGCUCCUAGGUAACAGGGAAGAACACCGAGGCAGAUUCUGCUCACACAUUCUUUCCAACUUAUGGUGUAUUUGUUGAAGUUUAGUUUCAGCAUUGUGGUUUCCGUGAUUGCUUUGGAUUU